rnacentral:rRNA from 1 species
GACGACGCUGGCGGCGUGCUUAACACAUGCAAGUCGAACGGUGACGAGGAGCUUGCUCCUCCGAUCAGUGGCGAACGGGUGAGUAACACGUGAGUAACCUGCCCCAGACUCUGGAAUAACAGUUGGAAACAGCUGCUAAUACCGGAUACGAGACGGAGAGGCAUCUCUACCGUCUGGAAAGUUUUUCGGUCUGGGAUGGACUCGCGGCCUAUCAGCUUGUUGGUGAGGUAAUGGCUCACCAAGGCGACGACGGGUAGCCGGCCUGAGAGGGCGACCGGCCACACUGGGACUGAGACACGGCCCAGACUCCUACGGGAGGCAGCAGUGGGGAAUAUUGCACAAUGGGCGAAACGCCUGAUGCAGCAACGCCGCGUGAGGGAUGACGGCCUUCGGGUUGUAAACCUCUUUCAGUAGGGAAGAAGCGAAAGUGACGGUACCUACAGAAGAAGCACCGGCUAACUACGUG